rnacentral:rRNA from 1 species
GACGAACGCUGGCGGCGUGCUUAACACAUGCAAGUCGAACGGAAAGGCCCUGCUUGCCGGGUACUCGAGUGGCGAACGGGUGAGUAACACGUGGGUGAUCUGCCCUGCACUUCGGGAUAAGCCUGGGAAACUGGGUCUAAUACCGGAUAGGAGCCAUUUUUAGUGUGAUGGUUGGAAAGUUUUUUCGGUGUAGGAUGAGCUCGCGGCCUAUCAGCUUGUUGGUGGGGUAAUGGCCUACCAAGGCGGCGACGGGUAGCCGGCCUGAGAGGGUGGACGGCCACAUUGGGGCUGAGAGACGGCCCAGACUCCUACGGGAGGCAGCAGUGGGGAAUAUUGCACAAUGGGCGCGAGCCUGAUGCAGCGACGCCGCGGGGGGGAUGACGGCCUUCGGGUUGUAAACUCCUUUCGCUAGGGACGAAGCUUUUUGUGACGGUACCUAGAUAAGAAGCACCGGCUAACUACGUG